UCCCAGGUGGCUCAGCUGGUAAAGAAUCUGCCUGCAGUGCAGGAGACCUGGGUUUAAUCCCUGGGUUGGGAA
rnacentral:tRNA from 1 species